UGGACGAUGGCAUCGACUAUCGGCCCAACCCUAGUUAUAUCCACGGGCUGUAAAGCAGGAAACUACAAACCCACACAAAUAAUUAGAAUUUUACAAAAAUGCAUUUAAAAAAUGCCAAUCCACGUCGGAGGAAAUGCAUAGGAGAAAAAGAGAGGGGAAAACACAAUGCUAUUCACCAGAUGGACAGAGGCAGUGUCACUGUGCAUUUUAAUUGGACUUUCAAGAUGUAUUCCCCAACUUGGCUACAACAGCCCCCAUCUGAUUACACAUUAUGACAAUAUUAUAACAGAUGUCCAGGCCAAUAAAGAAAAUUCCUGAAGGACUGUAUGUAAUUUCAAGACGGAGAACCCAGGACCAUACCAGGAAGUCCCUUUACACGAGACUGAACCACAAGUUGCAAUUUACAGCCUUUCAACAGCAUUACACAGUUUUCGUGUUUAUAAUGAUGCAAAAACAGGCUUGUGAGGGGCAAUACGGUUAAAUGGCUCUAGUUGAACAAACAGUAAAGGGGUCAGUGAAUUUUAGAUGGUUGCACACACACACAUA